UACGGAGGGUGCAAGCGUUAUCCGGAUUCACUGGGUUUAAAGGGUGCGUAGGAGGGCAGGUAAGUCAGUGGUGAAAUCUCCGAGCUUAACUUGGAACUGCCGUUGAUACUAUCUGUCUUGAAUAUUGUGGAGGUGAGCGGAAUAUGUCAUGUAGCGGUGAAAUGCUUAGAUAUGACAUAGAACACCAAUUGCGAAGGCAGCUCGCUAACACAUAUAUUGACUCUGAGGCACGAAAGCGUGGGGAUCAAACAGG
rnacentral:rRNA from 1 species